rnacentral:lncRNA from 1 species
UUUGGCAGAUCCUCAGAGUAAUGUAGCUCAGGCAUGUUUCCUUGGAAAUAAGGAGGAAAUUGUUGCGGCAGGAGGUUGUGUUGAGCAGAAGUUGACGUCUCGAACGCGAUGCCAUUGAAGGGAGCUUGCAUCUGGCCAUGGUUGUUCACUUGACCUGAUCCUUCAAAAGGUGAGUCAUCUGUCAGGUUGGUAUCCCUGAACGGCGAUGGUUCAGGGAUACCAUCGUUUCUCCAUGAUGAUGGUUCAGCAACAGGGUUUGGCAGAUCCUCAGAGCAGCGUAGCUCAGGCAUGUUUCCUUGGAAAUAAGGAGGCAAUUGGUGUGGCAUAAGGUUGUGUUGAGCAGAAGUUGACGCCUCCAAGGCGAUGCCGCCAAAGGGAGCUUGCAUCUGGCCAUGGUUGUUCACUUGACCUGAUCCUCAAAAGGUGAGUCAUCUGUCAGGUUGGUUUAGUUUUUUUUUUUAUUUGCAUUUUGUAUGUUUAGAAUUUAAUUGCUCACCU